CACAAAAUAUUGGAACAUAUAAAAAAUACAAUUCUGUUCCGCAGAGUAGCUGUUGACAUUAUAGUUGCGCAGGCACUUUGACUCUAGAGAACCUCGGGCCAAUUGCACAUCCCCAUGACAGCGACUUUGCAUUUGGAUGUCAUCCAUAUCAACUUUCGAUGCCAGUUUCUGCACCUACCAUGGUGACCACAGGUAACGGGGAAUCAGGAUUCCAUUCCAUACAGGGACCCUGAGAAAUGGCUACCACAUGCAAGGAAGGCAGCAGGUGUGCAAAUGACUCACUCCCGACACGGGAAGGUAGUGACG